CUUACAAGGAGGGGGUCACUGGUUCGAGACCGGUAUCGCCCACCACUUCUUUACAUACUUCCCUAAUUUUAAGAUU
rnacentral:tRNA from 1 species